rnacentral:rRNA from 1 species
AUUGAACGCUGGCGGCAGGCCUAACACAUGCAAGUCGAGCGGAUGAAUGGAGCUUGCUCCUGUAUUCAGCGGCGGACGGGUGAGUAAUGCCUAGGAAUCUGCCUGGUAGUGGGGGAUAACGUCCGGAAACGGGCGCUAAUACCGCAUACGUCCUGAGGGAGAAAGUGGGGGAUCUUCGGACCUCACGCUAUCAGAUGAGCCUAGGUCGGAUUAGCUAGUUGGUAGGGUAAAGGCCUACCAAGGCGACGAUCCGUAACUGGUCUGAGAGGAUGAUCAGUCACACUGGAACUGAGACACGGUCCAGACUCCUACGGGAGGCAGCAGUGGGGAAUAUUGGACAAUGGGCGAAAGCCUGAUCCAGCCAUGCCGCGUGUGUGAAGAAGGUCUUCGGAUUGUAAAGCACUUUAAGUUGGGAGGAAGGGCAGUAAGUUAAUACCUUGCUGUUUUGACGUUACCAACAGAAUAAGCACCGGCUAACUUCGUG